CCCUUGGUGGUGUAGUUGGUUAUCGCGUUCGGCUGUAAUUGUAAUAAUUGAAACCGAAAUGUCGCCGGUUCGAUUCCGGCCCGAGGGA
rnacentral:tRNA from 1 species